rnacentral:tRNA from 1 species
GAGAAUUUAUUAUAUUUUUAGUAUAUUUAUUUUAAGAUUAAAAGGAGUUUUCUUA